UGCUAAAUCAUGAAGGCAUAAUAAUAAUGACCAUACACUCUUUCUGUACUAAUUUAUUAAACAUACUAAUAUUGUGUACAUGCAUAUGUGUGUUUGCAUGCUCCUAACUACUUACUCAUGUAAUUUAACAUUGUGUUGUAAAGGUGUUCAGUCAUCAUACAAUAUGUACUUUAUACAGGAUUAGCAUUCCACUUCUCAUCUCUGUCUUAUUAAAUAUCUAUCAUUGAUGAAAUCCUGUCUUCAGAAUUAAUAAUGAAGACUUCUUAAGGCAAUAAAUGUGUGAAAAAUGGUAAAUUUU
rnacentral:misc_RNA from 1 species